GUGGGGAAUAUUGGGCAAUGGGCGAAAGCCUGACCCAGCAACGCCGCGUGAGGGAAGAAGGCCUUCGGGUUGUAAACCUCUGUCCUUGGUGACGAAACAAAUGACGGUAGCCAAGGAGGAAGCCCCGGCUAACUACGUGCCAGCAGCCGCGGUAAUACGUAGGGGGCGAGCGUUGUCCGAAAUUACUGGGCGUAAAGGGUGCGUAGGUGGCCUUUUAAGUUGGAUGUGAAAUACCCGGGCUUAACUUGGGGGGCGCAUCUAAUACUGGAGGGAUAGAGUGCAAGAGAGGGAAGCGGAAUUCCUAGUGUAGCGGUGAAAUGCGUAGAUAUUAGGAGGAACACCAGAGGCGAAGGCGGCUUUCUGGACUGUAACUGACACUGAGGCACGAAAGCGUGGGGAGCAAACAGGAUUAGAAACCCCUGUAGUCC
rnacentral:rRNA from 1 species